GGAUUGGUGGACUUGUAGGGGCUGGAGUAGGACUUGGGUCAGCAUAGUCCAACGUUGAAAUGUGUUGGGUGACUUUUUCCAUGCCCUCAUCUGGAAAUAACUCAACAACAAAUUUCAGUAGUACUAGAAAAACAUGGCACUUGAAAUGCAAUACGAAUAGUUUACAAACAGUUUGAUAUAUUCCUAGCGUAUUAUUAAAAGUGAGUACCUAGUCGAAAAUUUGGUUGACGACUGGUUGCAUGUGCUGAUGAGAUGAAAAACAAGGUGAUCAUGCAGAAACAAAAAACAUGAGAAAUAGAAUCCAUAUUUCUUCGUGUAGACAAUGAUCCGGUCAAUUGC
rnacentral:lncRNA from 1 species